rnacentral:misc_RNA from 1 species
GACAACCCGGAGACCGACGAGUGCAAAGUGUACGAAAACUAAGACCACUGUCCAAGUACGGGCUCGCGUAGGUGCAGAAAUAUAUACUCCUAUAAUGUAACGAAGCACACACAUUGACUGUCCCCGGGCAGAACUGCUAUACUAUAUAUACUGUGCUCGGAUUGGCUGCCCGUACGUUGUUCCCCUUCGACAGAGGAACGCAUGACUGUCGAAGAAGAAACACAGCUGCAGACACGGGCCAUUUUCUGUGAGGUGUAAUACUGAACUUU